GUCUAUCAUUUUUUCUUCAGCUAGCAGUGAGUACGGUCCAUAAAUUUUGAUGUAUCAAACAAAAUAUUUUAUCUAAGUGAAAACAAACUACUUAUGGGAAUGGUACGUUGCAGUGUUUCUGGUUGUUACAACGCGUCCGGUAACGGGUCAAAAUCCUUCUUUUCAAUCAAGGGAAAAUAUAGGGAUUCCGAAGCCUGGAAGAAGUUUUGCGAAAAUGAUGACCUACCCCGACACAGUUUCGUCUGCGAAGACCACUUCGUAGUAGAGGAUUUUAUCAAUCCCCAAAACUUUAGCCAAGGAUUGCAUCGUUAUGUGGUUCCGACAAUCAAAGUUCCAUAUUUAAUUCCUGUUGAUAUUCCGAUAAUUUUGAAUUAUCACGAAAGUCGAUGAGCCCAUUCACGGGGAGAAGUACAAAUACCAUAGUACCAACAGCAGCGAAAGUUUCCUGGAAAUUAAACAAAACAACAGCGAAUUGCCAAAUUAAGCGGUUUUUUCGGAUACGUGAUUCCGUUAAAUAAUUCAAUGACGGCUGAAGGAAUUUUUCAAAGCUCAACUAACUGAUAAAUUCUAAUUUUAACUAGAUUUAAAUAAAAUGUAAAUAUUUGGAAUAUGGGAAGGCCUUGAACACUUAUAUUAUUAAGAAGCUUGAAGUAAAUUUAUUGUUCAUGAAACCAAUUAUUGCUAUGCUUUGAAUCAAUCAAGAUUAAUUGUUAGGUAAAUUCUUUAAUAAAAUAAAUUCAAUAAAUAAACCAAUAACAAUA